rnacentral:rRNA from 1 species
GAGAGGUGCUGCAUGGCUGUCGUCAGCUCGUGUUGUGAAAUGUUGGGUUAAGUCUCGCAACGAGCGCAACCCCUAUCGUCUGUUGCCAGCAUUAAGUUGGGCACUCUGACGAGACUGCCUGGGUUAACCAGGAGGAAGGUGGGAAUGACGUCAAGUCCUCAUGGCCCUUAUGUCUAGGGCUACACACGUAAUACAAUGGCGCGUACAAUGGGAAGCGAACUAGUGAUAGGGAGCAAAUCUCAAAAAGCGCGCCUCAGUUCGGACUGGAGUCUGCAACUCGACUCCAUGAAGUUGGAAUCGCUAGUA